rnacentral:lncRNA from 1 species
AAUAUUGCCAUUGCUUUUCACAUUUUUCCUCAUAGGAUAAAAAGUCCUAGUCUGAUGGAUUUUCUCCCAAUAAAAAUCUUAGUCUGAUGAAUUUUUCUCCUAAGAUAGAAAACCUAGUCUGAUGAAUUUUCUCCUAAGAUCGAAAUCUUAGUCUGAUGAAUCUUUCUCCUAAGAUAGAAGACCUAGUCUGAUGAACUUUCUCCUAGGAUCGAAAUCUUAGUCUGAUGAAUCUUUCUCCUAAGAUAGAAGACCUAGUCUGAUGAACUUUCUCCUAGGAUCAAAAUCUUAGUCUGAUGAAUCUUUCUCCUAAGAUAGAAAACCUAGUCUGAUGAAUUUUCUCCUAGGAUCAAAAUCUUAGUCUGAUGAAUCUUUCUCCUAAGAU